rnacentral:lncRNA from 1 species
AAAAGAAAGCGAAGUCUAUGGAUCAAUACAAAUUUAAUUAAUGAAUCUUGUGAAGAUUGCUCUUGCCCAAGCCUUUAAGAAGAAGCCAUUCUUGAAGUAAUUACAAGUGGCAAUUUUCAUCUAAAAAUCGUUUCUUUAAGGGGGUGGGGUGCUCAAUUUUUAGCUAAUUAAGCCAACUUUACUUGCAACACUAUCACUCAUAACUACUGCCCAAUCCAUACUUCACUUAAACAGAAAAGAAAAAAAAAAGUAAGAAAAAUGUCAACAACAAGAUAAUAACACAUCUUGUAGGUGCUAUAAUAUCAUGGCUUUUUCGAUUGGAAAUCCUGAAGAAGAAGAAAAAAGGCAACCAUCAAACAAAUCAAGAAUUAAUGAAUUCACGAAGUCUAAUAAUAUGCCCUCUCAAAUCAAUGCAAAGAAA